rnacentral:rRNA from 1 species
CCUGCCCGGUGACCCUGGGUUAAACGGCCGCGGUAUUUUAACCGUGCGAAGGUAGCGCAAUCACUUGUCCUUUAAAUGAAGACCUGUAUGAAUGGCUAGACGAGGGCUUAGCUGUCUCCUCCCCCCGGUCAAUGAAAUUGAUCUCCCCGUGCAGAAGCGGGGAUACUAACAUAAGACGAGAAGACCCUAUGGAGCUUUAGACACUAGACAGCCCACGUUAAACUUCCCCUAUAAAGAGGAAAAAACAUUGUGAUUCCUGUCUCUCCUGUCUUCGGUUGGGGCGACCGCGGAGGAUAAAAAAGCCUCCAUGUGGACCGAGGUUACUAACCUCACAACUUAGAGCUGCAGCUCCAAGCAACAGAAAUUCUGACCAAAAUGAUCCGGCAUAGCGCCGAUUAACGGAACAAGUUACCCUAGGGAUAACAGCGCAAUCCUCUCCCAGAGUCCCUAUCGACGAGGGGGUUUACGACCUCGAUGUUGGAUCAGGACAUCCUAUUGGUGCAGCCGCUAAUAAGGGUUCGUUUGUUCAACGAUUAAAGUCCU